rnacentral:rRNA from 1 species
GAUGAACGCUGGCGGCGUGCCUAAUACAUGCAAGUCGAACGCAUAGCGAAAGGUGCUUGCACCUUUCAAGUGAGUGGCGAACGGGUGAGUAACACGUGGACAACCUGCCUCAAGGCUGGGGAUAACAUUUGGAAACAGAUGCUAAUACCGAAUAAAACUUAGUGUCGCAUGACACAAAGUUAAAAGGCGCUUCGGCGUCACCUAGAGAUGGAUCCGCGGUGCAUUAGUUAGUUGGUGGGGUAAAGGCCUACCAAGACAAUGAUGCAUAGCCGAGUUGAGAGACUGAUCGGCCACAUUGGGACUGAGACACGGCCCAAACUCCGACGGGAGGCUGCAGUAGGGAAUCUUCCACAAUGGGCGAAAGCCUGAUGGAGCAACGCCGCGUGUGUGAUGAAGGCUUUCGGGUCGUAAAGCACUGUUGUAUGGGAAGAACAGCUAGAAUAGGAAAUGAUUUUAGUUUGACGGUACCAUACCAGAAAGGGACGGCUAAAUACGUG